CUUCACCGACCCGAGCCACAACGGCCGCUCCACAGCCCGCCCCUGCCCAUAGACGGCAAGCAACGCCCCCGCCUC
rnacentral:antisense_RNA from 1 species